CAAUAGCGUAUAUUUAAGUUGCUGCAGUUAAAAAGCUCGUAGUUGGAUUUCGGGUGGGAAUGGCCGGUCCGCCGUUUCGGUGUGCACUUGCUACGCCCACCUUGCUGCCGGGGACGUGCUCUUGAGUUCACGCUCGGGACACGGAGUCGGCGAGGUUACUUUGAGUAAAUUAGAGUGUUCAAAGCAGGCCUACGCUCUGAAUACAUUAGCAUGGAAUAACACGAUAGGACUCUGGCUUAUCUUGUUGGUCUGUAGGACCGGAGUAAUGAUUAAGAGGGACAGUCGGGGGCAUUCGUAUUUCAUUGUCAGAGGUGGAAUUCUUGGAUUUAUGAAAGACGAACUACUGCGAAAGCAUUUGCCAAGGAUGUUUUCAUUAA
rnacentral:rRNA from 1 species